AGCAUGUUAGCUCAGGGGAAGAGCGCCGGGCUCAUAACCCGGAGGUACGAUUUCACCUCUCCAACCAAUCAUAGUCCGAUUUCUAACAAACAAUAGGUCCCUGGAUCGAAACCAGGACAUGCUA